AAUUAUCAAUUUAUUUGUGUGGAUGAAAAUGGAUAUUUAUGUCCACAACUUGAAGAUGGAACCAUUAUAUAUCCUGAGCCAGUAUCAUCUUUUACUGCAGCUGUAUGCGAAGACAUUGAGGAGCUUUUGAUAUCAAGUGUAAAAAAAAGAAGAGAAUUAUGGGAUCACACAUUGCCAAUUACAAAAAGAUCUCGAGAUGUCAUUGCAACGCACUGGCAAGAAAUCUCAAAAGAAU